UACGUAGGGUGCAAGCGUUUAAUCGGAAUUACUGGGCGUAAAGCGUGCGCAGGCGGUUAUACAAGACAGAUGUGAAAUCCCCGGGCUCAACCUGGGAAUUGCAUUUGUGACUGUAUGGCUAGAGUGUGUCAGAGGGGGGGUAGAAUUCCACGUGUAGCAGUGAAAUGCGUAGAUAUGUGGAGGAAUACCGAUGGCGAAGGCAGCCCCCCUGGGAUAAGCACUGAACG
rnacentral:rRNA from 1 species